GACGAACGCUGGCGGCGUGCUUAACACAUGCAAGUCGAACGGUGAAGCGCCUUCCUUUUUGGUGGGUGUGGAUGAGUGGCGAACGGGUGAGUAACACGUGAGUAACCUGCCCCCUUCUUCUGGAUAACCGCAUGAAAGUGUGGCUAAUACGGGAUAUUCUGGGUCUGUCGCAUGAUGGGUCUGGGAAAGAUAUUGUUUCGGUGGGGGAUGGGCUCGCGGCCUAUCAGCUUGUUGGUGGGGUGAUGGCCUACCAAGGCGGUGACGGGUAGCCGGCCUGAGAGGGUGGACGGUCACACUGGGACUGAGACACGGCCCAGACUCCUACGGGAGGCAGCAGUGGGGAAUAUUGCACAAUGGGUGCAAGCCUGAUGCAGCGACGCCGCGUGAGGGAUGGAGGCCUUCGGGUUGUGAACCUCUUUCGCCAGUGAAGCAGGCCUGCCUCGUUUGUGGGUGGGUUGACAGUAGCUGGAUAAGAAGCGCCGGCUAACUACGUG
rnacentral:rRNA from 1 species